rnacentral:rRNA from 1 species
AUUGAACGCUGGCGGCAGGCCUAACACAUGCAAGUCGAGCGAGCGGCGGACGGGUGAGUAAUGUAUGGGGACUGCUCGAUAGAGGGGGAUAACUACUGGAAACGGUGGCUAAUACCGCAUACUAUCGGAUAACCCAUAUGGGAUUAGCUAGUAGGUGGGGGAAAGGCUCACCUAGGCGACGAUCGCUAGCUGGUCUGAGAGGAUGCACAGCCGCACUGUGACAUAGACACGGCACAGACUCCUACGGUGGCAGCAGUCGGGAAUAUUGCACAAUGGGCGCAAUCCUGAUGCAGCCACGCCGCGUGUAGGAGGAAGGCCGUAGGGUUUUAAAGUACUUUCAGCGGGGAGUCGUUACCCGCAGAAGUAGCACCGGCUAACUCCGUGCCAGCAGCCGCGGUAAUUC